rnacentral:rRNA from 1 species
GUGGGGAAUAUUCCGCAAUGGACGAAAGUCUGACGGAGCAACGCCGCGUGAGUGAUGAAGGUUUUCGGACUGUAAAGCUCUGUUGUUUAGGACGAAAGUGCCUGUUGCAAAUAGUUACAGGUAUUGACGGUACUGAACGAGGAAGCCACGGCUAACUACGUGCCAGCAGCCGCGGUAAUACGUAGGUGGCAAGCGUUGUCCGGAAUUAUUGGGCGUAAAGAGCAUGUAGGCGGGAAUCUAAGGCGGUUGUGAAAAUGCGGGGCUCAACCCCGUAUUGCGAUGGAAACUGGGUUUCUUGAGUGCAGGAGAGGAAAGGGGAAUUCCCAGUGUAGCGGUGAAAUGCGUAGAUAUUGGGAGGAACACCAGUGGCGAAGGCGCCUUUCUGGACUGUGUCUGACGCUGAGAUGCGAAAGCCAGGGUAGCGAACGGGAUUAGAUACCCUAGUAGUCC